UUGGAGAAAGUAGAUUUGGAACAUGUUAACAAUUUUCUGAAUUUGAAUCCUCUGCCUUGCAUUGAGCCUGGGCAUCUUAAAUUAAAGGGUUAUGCAGAAGAGGCAAUGAUUUUGGUUCAGGAAAUUGAUUCUGCCUUGUCAACGAGUUCAAAAUCCUCUAUCCCUGAGUUGGAACAGCUAUAUUC